ensembl:lncRNA
GAACACAAUGGGCUUGGUUUAUUUUUCGCAUCGGCCUGUGUCAAUCGAGGUUGAGUUUAGUGAGGGUUGAAAGUUUUCGAUCUAGAUUGCAGAUCACUAUUGUCACUUUAUACAAACUGAAAGUAUGCGUUGUUGCGUUUUUGUGGGCAUUUGACUGAACAGCCCAGACAAAUAUUGCUACCAACAUGGCACUUGGAAACAGACCACCGCAGUGUUAGAUGACUGACAAGAUCUAUGGGGGGGCCCCCUUUGGGCCCCCCCAUACCAUCUUAGUCUUCAAAGGAAUCUAGUGCCAUGGGACUCCAGUGUCUUCAAAACAUCCUCGGAAUACAUGUGUAUGAAUGGUCCACCGAAGGGUUGAUCUGGAAGCCACCACGGUCCACGCAGUAAUCUGCUGCGUGGGCCGUAGUGGCUUCCAGAGCCAUCUUUCGGUCUUGGUCAGGAUUUGUUACAGUUGCCCUUCAAUGUAGCAGGCUACGGGUUUCUGAAGAAGCCUGCUUUACGUAGCAUUGGAGAGUACAAAUAUUGUGCAAAAUGCUCAUGUAAUUGCACUAGCACUAGUAACCUGUAGAUUAGCUUAGUUUAACGUCAUUCCGUGCUGUCUCCGUCAAAUGUGUGGCUUACUUUAAGUCCACAAGGCCCUCUGGUAAACCACGUUGGAACACCCCUGGACAAGGUGAUUAGUCACUGGGUGUGUGCUAAAGUUUUGUUCAAUUUUUCACUAGUUGGUUAAGGUUUGGUAGAAUUGUUUGGAUGCUAGCGACGUGAUGGCGUAUGUACAAGAGCCUACCGUGGCCAGGCCACAGUUGCGACGGUCACGGCCAGAUGGCCUAGUGUGAGUGCAACCUUGAUUGCAUUUGUAUACUGUUUACCAUUGGAUGUUUAUGCAAUUUGGCUUAAUUCAUCCGCAGUAAAGCUGCAUUUGACUAUUCCAGGGUCGUUUUGUACAGGCUUUCAAUUGACCAUGUUGACUAGUUUGUGGGAAGUUUUUUGUUUUUUUUUACCCUUGCUUACAAUCCAACAGUUGUGACCACUUAUGUAACUGGGCUGUGAACCUUGCAAUUCUAGUUGCAUAUUUGUACACGCAAGCUUGUCCUUUUCUAUCGCCAUCACUAACACUAGCUUCAGCAUUUCCUUGACACUAAAAUACACCAACAUUCUACACUCUCUAUCAAAAGAGACUUCUAAAACAUAUCUGCUAGAACAGUUCCUAUACUUUUUGUAUAAUUUGGUCAUGCUGCAAAUUUACUUUUUGUAGUUGCUCCAUAUUUAGUUCUUUGACAGCCUCACCUGCUAGAAAAGUCUAUUCAAAUCGGCUAAAUAUAAUGAACUAAAUUAAUAGCCAUGAAAUGUUGUGACUCAUACUAAUGGCAAAUACCCUCUUUCAGUUGGUGGUUCAACACUGAUGUCUCUCUAGGCUUGAGGGAGAGCUCACAAGUAAAUAACACGAAUGUCCUGGAGCAAUUGGGAAUACACUUUUAUUUAGUCUACCUGACCAGGGACAUCUUUGAACUAUAGGUCACCUAACCCAAACUUUUCACUCUUGUUAGGUUGUUCUUUUCUCUUGUUUUAACCCGAAAGGGCUGAAAUAUCAACAUUUCGGGUAUUCUGUUUGGAUAAUGUGCAAAACUUGUGGCUUCACUAAUAAAAACAUUUUUCUUAAUGUGGUUAAACUAUUUAAAGAUUUGUAUGCAAAAUAUUUCUGCUCAAUUUGUGGUCAAUGAAACUCUGAAAUUUUUCAAUUUGAUAAAACACAACUAUGGGUUAAAGGUAUUUGCUUUGGGCAUCUUUUGAUAUUUUUAGAAUCUAGCUCCAUUGCCGUUAGAAAUGGUGUCUCCCAGUACUGCAAAGUGCUUCCA